rnacentral:rRNA from 1 species
UGGGGAAUUUUGCGCAAUGGACGAAAGCCUGACGCAGCAACGCCGCGUGGGUGAUGAAGGUCUUCGGAUUGUAAAACCCUGUCGUCGGGGACGAAGGUUGUAGGGUGAAUAGCCUUACGAUUUGACGGUACCCGGAGAGGAAGCCCCGGCUAACUCUGUGCCAGCAGCCGCGGUAAUACAGAGGGGGCAAGCGUUAUUCGGAAUUAUUGGGCGUAAAGGGCGCGUAGGCGGUUUUGUAAGUAGGAUGUGCAAUCCCCGAGCUUAACUUGGGAACUGCAUCCUAGACUGCAAGGCUAGAGUGCUGGAGAGGGUGGUAGAAUUCCACGUGUAGCGGUGAAAUGCGUAGAGAUGUGGAGGAAUACCAGUGGCGAAGGCGGCCACCUGGACAGUAACUGACGCUGAGGCGCGAAAGUGUGGGGAGCAAACA